rnacentral:rRNA from 1 species
AUGAGAGAUAUGAAUGAGAUUAUGUAUCCUUUUGAGAAAGAUGGUGGGAACCCGAGACUACCACAGUUUAUGCAAGCCUUUAAAACUGCUUUAGAGGACUGUAACAUGACAGAUUUUGGGUAUGAUGGGGAGAAGUUCACAUAGCACAAAGGUCGAAUUCGUGAAAGGCUAGAUCGGGCCCUAACAAAUGAGGCGUGGAAUAGUAAAUUUGAGAAUGUUGUUUUGACAAAUCUGGAAUACAGUAAGUCUGAUCACAGACCGAUUGUAAUGAACCUUCAUAUAAAUAAUAUUCAAGAGAACCAUGGGCUGGCAGUGUUGAGGUUUGAGGCGAAGUGGCUGAAAGAAGCACACUUUCGACAGGUGGUUCAGGAGGCCUGGGAGAGGGCGGGAGCCCAGAAUUCAAAUAGCAUUCUUGCCGAGAAACUUGUUCUGGUCAUUGAAACUUGCUCUGGUCCAUGA